rfam:Triticum aestivum genome assembly, contig: Triticum_aestivum_CS42_TGACv1_scaffold_571599_7AS
CAAAUACCCCCUCCGUCCAAAAAUACUUGUCAUCAAAAUAGAUUAAAAAGGAUGUAUCUAGAACUAAAAUACGUCUAGAUACAUCUCCUUUUAUCCAUUUUGAUGACAAGUAUUUCCGGACGGAAGGAGCACUUA